rnacentral:lncRNA from 1 species
UGGGCGUCAGUGUAAAUGAGAGGAGAAACGAGGAGCUCUUCAGGCCCUUGGGGAGAAUUAUUUUUUAAAUGUUCAUGCACUGGACAUUUUUUUUUUUUCUUGUAAAGCAAUUGAAAUCAAAAGGCGGAGUCUUCUUGAGAGACUGGAAUUACAUUGCCUGAAUUAACUGUGUCUCAUCUCUUGCUCUUCUGGCUUGCGUUUCAACAGCUGCUGCAUAGGCUUGGAGAGGAACUCCACCACUUCCUUUUCUUAGCAACCCUGAUCAGCUGGUGGUCAUAGCUGUGUGAGGAUGUGACAGCGAGGAGGAAGGAGGGGAGCUCACUAGAGCAGGCUGGAUUACAGGCCUGGGACGGCUUUGGGGUUCGCUGUGGUCCCGGGAGCUGUGCCAGCCACGCUGGAGCUCAGAGUGAACCGGAGCCACGUGGAAGCUAGUUUGAAAGGGUGCACCAAGGUGCCGUCUACACCACAGGCCGCCCCACAAGAGGGAGAAUCGCUGCUCCCUGCAUGCGUUUCUGCUGCCAGGGCUGGGAGGGGAAGUACGACGUGUCCUGACCCACGGAAUGGAGCAUGGAGAAGGGACAUUUUCCAACUCAGUGGCGUCCGACUGUGGAAACAUUUGUGACGCAGGCGGGGCUUCAAGGGUUCCGUGAGACGAAGGCGGCU